rnacentral:misc_RNA from 1 species
ACUGUCGAGCUUGAAUUUAGUUGCUGUGGGUGGAAUGUGUGGUGUAGCGGUGAAAUGCAUAGAUAUCACACAGAAUAUCGAUUGCGAAGGCAGCUCACAAAGCUAAUAUUGACGCUGAUGCACGAAAGUGUGGGGAUCAAACAGGAUUAGAUACCCUGGUAGUCCACACUGUAAACGAUGAUAACUCGCUGUCGGCGAUACAUAGUCGGUGGCCAAGCGAAAGCGAUAAGUUAUCCACCUGGGGAGUACGACCGCAAGGUUGAAACUCAAAGGAAUWGACGRGKSMMCGMACAAGSGGMSSMMCACUGUGGWCUUAGAUUMGWUGAUAYGCSRGGAACCUUACCCGGGCUCGAACGGUGCAUGAAUGAUUCAGAGAUGGAUUAGUCCUUCGGGACAUGUAUCGAGGUGCUGCAUGGUUGUCGUCAGCUCGUGCCGUGAGGUGUCGGCUUAAGUGCCAUAACGAGCGCAACCCUUGUCGUUAGUUSCCAUCMAGUAAAGUUGGGGACUCUAGCGAGACUGCCMCCGUAAGGUGCGAGGAAGGGGGGGAUGACGUCAAAUCAGCACGGCCCUUACGUCCGGGGCGACACACGUGUUACAAUGGCAGGUACAGAGGGCAGCUACCCAGUGAUGGGGUGCGAAUCUCGAAAGCCUGUCUCAGUUCGGAUUGGAGUCUGCAACUCGACUCCAUGAAGUUGGAUUCGCUAGUAAUCGCGCAUCAGCCAUGGCGCGGUGAAUACGUUCCCGGGCCUUGUACACACCGCCCGUCAAGCCAUGGAAGCCCGGGGGUGCCUGAAGUUCGUGACCCGCAAGGAGCGACCYAGGGCAAAACUGGUAACUGGGGCUAAGUCGUAACAAGGUAGCCGUACCGGAAGGUGUGGCUGGAACACCUCCUUUUUGGAGCGUUACUGUUACGUUGAUUUUUUCUGCUCUAUUUAUGUCUUCCUUUUUUAUAUAAGCUGUUUAUUACGUUUCUGCCACGGCGGGAAGGGUGAUCAAAGGGUUCAAGUCCCUUGACAGUUCAGCUUUAGAGAUAAGGCACUAGUUCAUUGACAUUUUGAGAGAGAUAAUAGAGGUAAGGAAAAUACAAUAAAUAUAAAUUUAGUCUGUUAAUUUAAAGAUUAAGGGACUACAAUUUCGAGCGUUUUAAGAAGUUACUUAAGGGCGAACGGAGGAUGCCUUGGCUUCUAUGGGCGAAGAAGGACGUGGUAAGCUGCGAAAAGCUGCGGGGAUUUGCAAACGAGAUUUGAUCCGCGGAUAUCCGAAUGGGGCAACCC